UACGAAGGGGGCUAGCGUUGUUCGGAUUUACUGGGCGUAAAGCGCACGUAGGCGGAUCGUUAAGUCAGGGGUGAAAUCCCGGAGCUCAACUCCGGAACUGCCUUUGAUACUGGCGGAUCUGAGGCUGGAAGAGGUUAGUGGAAUUCCCAGUGUAGAGGUGAAAUUCGUAGAUAUUGGGAAGAACACCAGUGGCGAAGGCGGCUAACUGGUCCAGAUCUGACGCUGAGGUGCGAAAGCGUGGGGAGCAAACAGG
rnacentral:rRNA from 1 species